rnacentral:rRNA from 1 species
UACGUAGGGUCCGAGCGUUGUCCGGAAUUACUGGGCGUAAAGCGUGCGCAGGCGGCUAUGCAAGACAGAUGUGAAAUCCCCGGGCUCAACCUGGGAACUGCAUUUGUGACUGCAUGGCUAGAGUACGGUAGAGGGGGAUGGAAUUCCGCGUGUAGCAGUGAAAUGCGUAGAUAUGCGGAGGAACACCGAUGGCGAAGGCAAUCCCCUGGACCUGUACUGACGCUCAUGCACGAAAGCGUGGGGAGCAAACAGG